rnacentral:rRNA from 1 species
CCUACGGGUGGCAGCAGUGAGGAAUAUUGGUCAAUGGAAGAGAGUCUGAACCAGCCAAGUAGCGUGAAGGAUGACUGCCCUAUGGGUUGUAAACUUCUUUUAUAUGGGAAUAAAAUGUUCCACGUGUGGGAUUUUGUAUGUACCAUAUGAAUAAGGAUCGGCUAACUCCGUGCCAGCAGCCGCGGUAAUACGGAGGAUCCGAGCGUUAUCCGGAUUUAUUGGGGUUAAAGGGAGCGUAGGUGGGUUGUUAAGUCAGUUGUGAAAGUUUGCGGCUCAACCGUAGAAUUGCAGUUGAAACUGGCAGUCUUGAGUACAGUAGAGGUGGGCGGAAUGCGUGGUGUAGCGGUGAAAUGCGUAGAUAUCGCGAAGAACUCCGAUUGCGAAGGCAGUGCACUGGACUGCAACUGACACUGAGGCUCGAAAGUGUGGGGAUCAAACAGGAUUAGAUACCCUAGUAGUC